CAGUAGCCGCGGUAAUACGUAGGGUGCAAGCGUUAAUCGGAAUUACUGGGCGUAAAGCGUGCGCAGGCGGUGUUGUAAGACUGAUGUGAAAUCCCCGGGCUCAACCUGGGAACUGCAUUGGUGACUGCAACGCUGGAGUGCGGCAGAGGGGGAUGGAAUUCCGCGUGUAGCAGUGAAAUGCGUAGAUAUGCGGAGGAACACCGAUGGCGAAGGCAAUCCCCUGGGCCUGCACUGACGCUCAUGCACGAAAGCGUGGGGAGCAAACAGGAUUAGAUACCCGCGUAGUCCCUGUCUCUUAUAC
rnacentral:rRNA from 1 species